rnacentral:tRNA from 1 species
AUUAAUAAAGUGUUAUACACAGCAUAUUGUGGUUAUGCAAAUAUUUUAAUAGUG